CGAACGGGUGAGUAAUACGUGGGUGACCUGCCCUGAAGAGGGGGAUAACCAUUGGAAACGGUGGCUAAUACCCCAUGCGAUCACAAGGGUUAGAGGCCUUGUGAUCAAAGCUUCGGCGCUUUAGGAGGGGCCCAUGGCCUAUCAGCUAGUUGGUGGGGUAACGGCCCACCAAGGCUAUGACGGGUAGCUGGUCUGAGAGGACGAUCAGCCACACUGGCACUGAGACACGGGCCAG
rnacentral:rRNA from 1 species